rnacentral:rRNA from 1 species
GGCUUAACACAUGCAAGUCGAGCGGUAACAGGGGUAGCUUGCUACCCGCUGACGAGCGGCGGACGGGUGAGUAAUGCUUAGGAAUCUGCCCAGUAGUGGGGGAUAGCCCGGGGAAACCCGGAUUAAUACCGCAUACGUCCUACGGGAGAAAGCAGGGGAUCUUCGAACCUUGCGCUAUUGGAUGAGCCUAAGUCGGAUUAGCUAGUUGGUGGGGUAAAGGCCUACCAAGGCGACGAUCCGUAGCUGGUCUGAGAGGAUGAUCAGCCACAUCGGGACUGAGACACGGCCCGAACUCCUACGGGAGGCAGCAGUGGGGAAUAUUGGACAAUGGGGGCAACCCUGAUCCAGCCAUGCCGCGUGUGUGAAGAAGGCUUUCGGGUUGUAAAGCACUUUCAGUAGGGAGGAAAACCUUAUGGCUAAUACCCAUGAGGCUUGACGUUACCUACAGAAGAAGCACCGGCUAACUCCGUGCCAGCAGCCGCGGUAAUACGGAGGGUGCAAGCGUUAAUCGGAAUUACUGGGCGUAAAGCGCGCGUAGGUGGUUUGGUAAGCGAGAUGUGAAAGCCCCGGCCUUAACCUGGGGAACGGCAUUUCGAACUGUCAGACUAGAAUGUGGUAGAGGGUAUUGGAAUUUCCUGUGA